GACGAACGCUGGCGGCGUGCUUAACACAUGCAAGUCGAACGGAAAGGCCCUGCUUUUGUGGGGUGCUCGAGUGGCGAACGGGUGAGUAACACGUGAGUAACCUGCCCUUGACUUUGGGAUAACUUCAGGAAACUGGGGCUAAUACCGGAUAGGAGCUCCUGCUGCAUGGUGGGGGUUGGAAAGUUUCGGCGGUUGGGGAUGGACUCGCGGCUUAUCAGCUUGUUGGUGGGGUAGUGGCUUACCAAGGCUUUGACGGGUAGCCGGCCCGAGAGGGUGACCGGCCACAUUGGGACUGAGAUACGGCCAAGACUCCUACGGGAGGCAGCAGUGGGGAAUAUUGCACAAUGGGCGGAAGCCUGAUGCAGCAACGCCGCGUGCGGGAUGACGGCCUUCGGGUUGUAAACCGCUUUCGCCUGUGACGAAGCGUGAGUGACGGUAAUGGGUAAAGAAGCACCGGCUAACUACGUG
rnacentral:rRNA from 1 species